AUUGAACGCUGGCGGCAGGCCUAACACAUGCAAGUCGAACGAGUGGCGGACGGGUGAGUAAUGUCUGGGAAACUGCCCGAUGGAGGGGGAUAACUACUGGAAACGGUAGCUAAUACCGCAUACCAUCAGAUGUGCCCAGAUGGGAUUAGCUUGGUGGUGGGGUAACGGCGCACCAAGGCGACGAGCCCUAGCUGGUCUGAGAGGAUGACGAGCAACCGUGGAACUGGGACACGGUCCAUACUCCGACGUGAGGCAGCAGGGGGGAAUAUUGCACAAUGGGCGCAAGCCUGAUGCAGCCAUGCCGCGUGUAUGAAGAAGGCCUUCGGGUUGUAAAGUACGUUCAGCGGGGAGGCGUUACCCGCAGAAGAAGCACCGGCUAACUCCGUGCCAGCAGCCGCGGUAAUUC
rnacentral:rRNA from 1 species